rnacentral:rRNA from 1 species
GCCAUCCCAGUUCGGAUUGCAGUCUGAAACUCGAGUGCAUGAAGCUGGAAUCGCUAGUAAUCGCAAAUCAGAAUGUUGCGGUGAAUACGUUCCCGGGUCUUGUACACACCGCCCGUCACACCAUGGGAGUUGGAAAUGCCCGAAGUCAGUGACCCAACCUAAGGGAGGGAGCUGCCGAAGGCAGGUUCGAUGACUGGGGUGAAGUCGUAACAAGGUAGC